rnacentral:RNase_P_RNA from 1 species
UCAGGGGGCCGGGCAGCCGCGUGGCGCAGUCUUGCGCCGCGAGGAAAGUCCGGGCUCCACGAAGCGAGGGUGGCGGGUAACUCCCGCCGUGCGCAAGCACAGGGAAAGUGCCACAGAGAGCAGACCGCCCGCCGGAUGCGUCCGGCAGGUCAGGGUGAAAGGGUGCGGUAAGAGCGCACCGGAGGGCUGGUAACAGCCCUCGCAUGGCAAACCCCACCCGGAGCAAGGCCAAAUAGGGGUGCCGCGCCCGCGCCGCCGCAAGGUGCGCCGGGCAGGGAGGUUUCGUCCCGAGGCACCCGGGUUGGCUGCUAGAGCGGCGGAGCGAUCCGUCGCCCAGAUGAAUGGCUGCCCCCGGCGAUACUUUCCGCGCUCGCGGAUAAAGUCGGCGGGACAGAACCCGGCUUACAGGCCCCCUGACAUU